rnacentral:rRNA from 1 species
CAAGGCAGUUAAAAUGCUUUGUAAUUGGAAUGAUAGAAAUUUAAACACUUUUUAAAGUAUCAAUUGGAGGGCAAGUCUGGAGCCAGCAGCCGCGGUAAUUCCAGCUCCAAUAGCGUAUAUUAAAAUUGUUGCAGUUAAAAAGCUCGUAGUUGAAUUUCUGCUAAAAAUAACCGGUCUGCUUUUAAUAAAGGUGGUAUCUUGGUGUGUUUUUAGCAAUAAUGUCCUUUGAAAUGUUUUUUACUUCAUUGUAAUAAAUUAUAUUUAGGAUUUUUACUUUGAGAAAAUUAGAGUGUUUCUAGCAGGCUAAUGCUUUGAAUACUGCAGCAUGGAAUAAUAAAAUAGGAUUUUGGUUCUACAUUAUUGGUUUUAAGAGCUAAAUUAAUGAUUGAUAGGGACAGUUGGGGGCAUUUGUAUUUAACUGUCAGAGGUGAAAUUCUUAGAUUUGUUAAAGACAAACUACUGCGAAAGCAU